rnacentral:rRNA from 1 species
GACGAACGCUGGCGGCGUGCCUAAUACAUGCAAGUCGAGCGAGCUGAAUUCAAAGAUUCCUUCGGGAUGAUUUGUUGGACGCUAGCGGCGGAUGGGUGAGUAACACGUGGGCAAUCUGCCCUAAAGACUGGGAUACCACUUGGAAACAGGUGCUAAUACCGGAUAACAACAUGAAUCGCAUGAUUCAAGUUUGAAAGGCGGCGCAAGCUGUCACUUUAGGAUGAGCCCGCGGCGCAUUAGCUAGUUGGUGGGGUAAAGGCCUACCAAGGCAAUGAUGCGUAGCCGAGUUGAGAGACUGAUCGGCCACAUUGGGACUGAGACACGGCCCAAACUCCUACGGGAGGCAGCAGUGAGGAAUAUUGGUCAAUGGGCGGAAGCCUGAACCAGCCAAGUAGCGUGCAGGAAGACGGCCCUAUGGGUUGUAAACUGCUUUUAUGCGGGGAUAAAGUGAGGGACGUGUCCUUCAUUGCAGGUACCGCAUGAAUAAGGACCGGCUAAUUCCGUGCCAGCAGCCGCGGUAAUACGGAAGGUCCGGGCGUUAUCCGGAUUUAUUGGGUUUAAAGGGAGCGUAGGCCGUGGAUUAAGCGUGUUGUGAAAUGCAGGUGCUCAACGUCUGCACUGCAGCGCGAACUGGUCCACUUGAGUGUGCGCAACGCAGGCGGAAUUCGUCGUGUAGCGGUGAAAUGCUUAGAUAUGACGAAGAACUCCGAUUGCGAAGGCAGCUUGCGGGAGCACAACUGACGCUGAAGCUCGAAAGUGCGGGUAUCGAACAGG